AGUCCCCUGGUGUAGUGGUCAAAUUCAUUUCGGCCUUUGGAGCCGGAGACCCAGGUUCGAAUCCUGGGGGGACUA
rnacentral:tRNA from 1 species